rnacentral:tRNA from 1 species
GGGAGCUUAGCUCAGCUGGUUCAGAGCAUCUGCCUUACAAGCAGAGGGUCGCUGGUUCGAACCCAGCAGUUCCCACAA